CUCCCCUCUUUCAAUUUGUUGUUCUGUGUUUUGCCUUUUCCUUUCCCUCCGUAUUAAUCUCCAUAUCAACCUCUGUCAAUUUUUCUCUUCUUCCCUCUUAACAUUUUCCAAUUUUCCUUCGACGAAUUUCACUUUGACUUGAGCUGAAACCAUUGCAAUGGGCGUUUGGAAAUUUUGUUUAAUCUGAGAAUUUUCCAGAAUCUGGAUAAGGAUCGAGAUUCUUCAGAUUGAACAGGACAAAUUAAAGUGCUGGAAUUUCAUAUACUUGGGUGGUCAUCCCGACUCAUAUCUAACUACCUAAGAGAGUUCUGUACUGGCACUUGCAAGGAGAAACAAAGAUAGUAGGACAAAAUUGUAUUUUCCUCGUAGGACGGGAAGGACUAGCUUCAAGAAUAUAAACAGAAAGAUGGAAGUCGAAGGUAUGGAUACAUCUCUUGUGAGCCUUUUUUGUGUUACAUGUGAGCCUGCCAAAGAUGAAGAUACACGUAAUCUAAUUACACAACUUAAAGACAGCUUGUAUCAAGUGCUUGAGGAAGAGCAAACUGAGACAUUCAAGAACAAUGUGUGGGUUGAGCAUAGGGGGCUGGACACACGAGGUUACGUUAGACACAUGGGGAAGUAUACCUCUGUGACCCAAAGGCAUGUACCAAUGAAUGAUAGGAAGGCAAUUAUUCAAGAAAUCAAAAAUCAGAUUGUUGAGGAGGUACGAGAGGAAGUAUUAUAGCAAGUUAGAGGAAUGACACCGCAUCAAUCGAGAGAAGAGAUAAGAGCAGAUUUUAGUGCACAGUUUGAGUAUAUGCAGAAAACCAUUAGUUUCUUAAUGUCACAUUUGGAUGUCAAUGCCUUACACAUGUUUCCAGAUUGGAUUUUUGGUGCUUUUCCUAGUCGACAGGUAACGAAAUUUGAGAAAGUUGUCAUGGUUGUAUUUCAUUUCAUUGAUGCAUCUAAUAUAAACUAAUAUCUUGAAGGGUC